rnacentral:rRNA from 1 species
UACGAAGGGUGCAAGCGUUACUCGGAAUUACUGGGCGUAAAGCGUGCGUAGGUGGUGCGUUAAGUCUGUCGUGAAAGCCCCGGGCUCAACCUGGGAAUGGCGAUGGAUACUGGCGCGCUAGAGUGCGGUAGAGGAGAGUGGAAUUCCCGGUGUAGCAGUGAAAUGCGUAGAGAUCGGGAGGAACAUCAGUUGCGAAGGCGGUUCUCUGGACCAGCACUGACACUGAGGCACGAAAGCGUGGGGAGCAAACAGG